GACAGAGGGGGGCAAGCGUUGCUCGGAAUUACUGGGCGUAAAGGGCGCGUAGGCGGGAUGGCAAGUCGGUCGUGAAAUCCUUCGGCUCAACCGAAGAACGUCGAUCGAUACUGCUGUUCUUUGAGGGUUGCAGAGGAGACUGGAAUUCCCCGGGUGUAGCGGUGAAAUGUGUAGAGAUCGGGGAGGAACACCGGUGGCGAAGGCGGGUCUCUGGGCAAUUCCUGACGCUGAGGCGCGAAAGCGUGGGGAG
rnacentral:rRNA from 1 species